UGACAUGUGAGUAGACCUCCAUGCAAGUACUCUCGUUCGAUUGUGUUCAGUGAACUCAUUCCCUUAAUGAGCACUUACAUACUUGUCUUAGUGUCACAACACGAAUGGGAUGAGACUUUCCAUCCUUCCAUUUGAAGCAGACACAGUAUGUACCGGUCUAAGCAUUGUCAGUAUCCCUCCGACAAUCCAAUGACCAGGAACCUUUUUGGACAUUUGGUUAUGUGAAGAAGGUCUCUGUAGUCUUGAAGGAUUAUUUUGUGAAAACAUGUUCAUUUAAGCAACAUCAAUAAGCAUGCAAUUAACAA
rnacentral:lncRNA from 1 species